rnacentral:rRNA from 1 species
UACGUAGGCAGCGAGCGUUGUUCGGAGUUACUGGGCGGAAAGGGUGUGUAGGCGGUUGUUUAAGUUUGGUGUGAAAUCUCCCGGCUCAACUGGGAGGGUGCGCCGAAUACUGAAUGACUUGGAGUGCGGGAGAGGAAAGUGGAAUUCCUGGUGUAGCGGUGAAAUGCGUAGAUAUCAGGAGGAACACCGGUGGUGUAGACGGCUUUCUGGACCGUAACUGACGCUGAGACACGAAAGCGUGGGUAGCAAACAGG